CAUUCUCUCCUCACACGCCUCUCUCCUCCCUCACUUCAUUCUCUCCAAAAAUCCUCCAUUCAUCCUUGUUCUUGCAACAAUUGGAGUUGAAACUUCAAGUUUCACCGAAGAAUCGCAUCAAUCUUUGUUUCUACCGUUCGUUUUGAUCAAGAAAGGGUUGUCGUGCGUACGUGAGCACUAGGAGCGAGAGUUACAUUGUAUUGUGUUUUGUGAUAUCUAAGCAAGCGAGGUUGAGCGGGAUGUGGCAAUGGAUGUUGAGUAGGCAUAGGAAAAUUGGAUGCGUUGUGUCUUCAUACAUAGGCGCCAUCCUAUGACUCUCUUUUGAUAACUCUUUUCCGCUGCUAUUUAUUGAAACUGAUGUCAUAAGAAUUUACUUUACGUCGUAUGGUUUUGCCUGUGUAAAACACUUAGAUAUUUUGAAUUCCGCUACUUACUUUAAAAACUAAAACGUUUUGUGGUCUAAA